CGCGGGCCGCGGCGGCGAUGCAGCGACGACGGCGCGCUCCGCUCGCGUCUCAGCAGCCCGAGGGCGGCGGGCGCGGCGAGGACGUGGAGGUGCAGUUCUCCGCCGGGCGUUUGGGUUCGGCCACCGCUGCGGGGGCGGCCGCGCGCGGCGAGGAGGACGAGGAGCGACUGGAGCGCGAGCAUUUCUGGAAGAUCAUCAACGCGUUCCGCUACUACGGCACCAGUAUGCAUGAACGAGUGAACCGAACAGAAAGACAGUUUCGAUCACUUCCAGAUAAUCAGCAGAAACUACUUCCUCAGUUUCCUCUUCACUUGGACAAGAUCCGGAAAUGCAUUGAUCAUAAUCAAGAAAUACUGCUGACCAUUGUGAAUGAUUGCAUACAUAUGUUUGAAAAUAAACAAUAUGGAGAAGAUGGGAAUGGAAAGAUUAUGCCGGCAUCUACAUUUGACAUGGAUAAGUUAAAAUCCACGUUGAAACAGUUUGUAAGAGACUGGAGUGAGACUGGGAAAACAGAAAGGGAUGCCUGCUACCAGCCAAUCAUUAAAGAAAUUAUCAAAAAUUUUCCCAAAGAGAGAUGGGAUCCUUCUAAAGUAAAUAUUCUGGUACCUGGUGCUGGACUAGGAAGAUUGGCCUGGGAAAUAGCUAUGCUAGGUUAUGCUUGUCAAGGAAAUGAAUGGAGUUUUUUUAUGCUCUUUUCUUCCAACUUUGUACUCAACAGAUGUUCUGAAAUUAACAAAUAUAAACUUUAUCCCUGGAUCCAUCAGUUUAGCAAUAAUCGGAGAUCAGCUGAUCAGAUUCGACCCGUGUUUUUCCCUGAUGUUGACCCACACAGUCUUCCUCCUGGUUCUAACUUUUCUAUGACAGCAGGAGAUUUUCAAGAGAUUUACUCAGAAUCCAAUACCUGGGACUGUAUUGCCACCUGCUUCUUCAUAGACACAGCCCACAAUGUAAUUGAUUAUAUUGAUACAAUUUGGAGAAUACUCAAGCCAGGUGGAAUUUGGAUAAAUCUUGGUCCUCUACUGUACCACUUUGAAAAUCUGGCAAAUGAACUUUCUAUAGAAUUGAGCUAUGAGGAUAUUAAACAUGUUGUUCUGCAGUAUGGAUUCCAGCUCGAGGUGGAAAAAGAAUCUGUGUUAUCAACAUACACUGUGAAUGAUCUCUCUAUGAUGAAAUACUACUAUGAAUGUGUUUUGUUUGUGGUCCGGAAACCACAAUAAUGGUCUUAGGUGAUAGUACCCAGAAAAAAAGUUUGAUAAGAACAAAUGCUGAAAUAAAGAACUCAGAAGUCAACUCUCUGUGACAGCAGGACACAACCUCAAAUCAGUGGUGCCUUCUUAUUCCUAACAAAAAUUAGAAAUAGUGUCUAUUUUCUUAAUAAUGUCUAUUGCUUUCUUCAGAAAUAUUCUAUGCCUUGCAGAUUUAUACUGCACAAGUAAAAAUGGAGGAAAAUCUUCAAGUACACUUUUUCCCUUGAAGCCCAGGAUUGUCUUUCAUAGGAAAGAUCCUAAACUCCAUUCUUCAUGAAGCUUGCAAGUCUGCCAUAUUAUUGACUGAUAGUAUUUAAGUCCAUAAUAAUCUUUUUGGUUUUGCACUGUCUUUGUUACUGUUAGAAGAGUCUAAAUAUCCUCUGUCAUAUUCUCUGUCAUCUGGAAUUGGAACUUUUGUUCACAUUGGACCUAAGCAGUCUAUACUCAGAAUGUGUUUUGUUUUUUUUUUUUUAACCAUCUUAAUUAGUUGGCGUAUUUUCUUAUAGCUCAGCUGAAUUUAGAGAAGCAUCAAAUACUUUCUUUUUAUGAAAUGCUAAAGUCAUUUUUGUCACAAGUCAGUGAAAUACAUUUAAGUAAGCUGAUCGGUCUUUUGCCAACCUAAACUGAACGUUACUAAUUCUUGGACCCCUUUGAAAUGUAUGAGUUGUCAACAUUCUGAGGAAGGCACAAAAGCUCUUUUUUUCAAAGCAGUGCUAAGAAACUGGAAAAUAAGAAGAAAACCUGCCCGUCUGAAACACAUCAAGUUAGAAAUGAAUUACAAAGUUUGUCAGUGUGAUAUUUACAAUGAUGUCUUUUAUUUUAAGUAUAUGGAUUAUGAAAGCAAGUACCUUUUUAGUUGCAAUAAUUAUGUUCUAGUAAAAGCUGCAUAAUAGUAUUAACAUGCAAAGUUUUGAGACUUCAGGGAUAAAUUAAUGCCCAUGGUCUGUCUUCAGCAUUCUAAGUAGCAGCCCAUUUGUGUCAUUUCAGGCUAACAUCAGUUUUGUUCCCUCAUACAGAUGAAGUUUGAACAGAGUCCAUGCUGCUUUAGUUUUCUACCUCUAGGAGGCCUGUUUUGGAGGGAGAUUUUUUCCUUUGUUGUUAAUUUCAAUGUUUGUUAUUCUGUUUUGGCUAGCUAGGAAUGACGAAUGUUUUAACUUUUUCUUCAAGAAAAUAAAGCUCUUGAAGGUAGAUCUCUGAGUUUUAAAGCCAGCCUGGUCUACAUAGCAAAUUCUGGGCCAGCUGGGGCUACAAGGAGAGCAUGUCUCAAAAAAGACCAAAAAAAAAAAAAAAAGCAGACUCUGUUGCUGAAUCUUUUGAUUGCUGGAUGACCUGACAGUGAGGUGGAUGUCAUAUGUGCUGGUAGCAUGAGCGUGCAUGGCUAUGCCAUACUCGGAAAAUUUCUGUUUAGAUCUUUGCUGUCACUUGGGACUAUGGGAGUCACUCCAGGAUCUGCCAUCUUUCUGCUUGGGAGGGGGAAACUCAGUACAUUUUACUACCACAGUGCAGUACACAGUUCCAUAGAGUGAGUUUGACUUCUCAGGCUAGGGAAGUCUGUAAUCUGCUUUCCUUUUUAAAGUUUUUCUUAUUCUUGUGUUGCUUGGUACUUCAUAAAUAUUCAUUUGGUGGAAAUUCUCAUUACUUAGUAAUUGCAGGAGGGAAAAAUCUCCUCAGAUUAUUUAUUUUUUUAAGCAACCCCCCUCAAAGAAACCUAAAAGAAAUGUAUCUUAAAAGACAUCCAUUAAAUGCCAAGGAAUGCAUACUGUUGUUUUAUUUAGGAAUGCUUUUUAUUCAUUGAGUCAUACUUCUUUUUUAACAACCUGAUUGUUGUUUCGCUCACCUAGGCAAAAACAGAUUGACAUUAGUGGGUUUGUUUUGCUACCUAAAGUUUAUUAGUUUUAUUUUUUUCUUGUUUGUGCUAUUAGGUUUUGUUCUUUUAAUAAUGCUACUUACAUUUCUAAAUUAUAUAUUUUGCUUCACUCUUAAAUCAGUUAUUUCAUUUAUUUUUAAUUUCUCUUGUCUCAUGCAUAUUUUAAAAAUAUUCUAUACAAAUUUAUAUCCUUUUUUCUCUUGUAGCUUUUGCUCUUGCUAUAUUAUAAACUUGAAAAUAUGGUAUAAAUCAUCAAGAAGUGUCACUGGAUGAUCUAUUUAAUUUUGUAUUUCUUAUAUUUAGAUCCAGCUACUAAAGUAAGGCUUGAAGUUUUGUCUCUUUAAGUUAGCCCUAUGCACAGAUGUUCUCAUUUCAUAAGGUGAUCAUGUAUGUACUUGCGUGUUUUAAUUUUCAUAUUCUGAGGUGGUGGGUGUGGAUUUAGAUCUGUUGAUCAAUGAGCAAGGUGGGACGUAAAAAUACACAGGAAGCUGUAGAAAUCACAGUAUAAAAUGAUCAAGUCGGGGAACUGUAAAGUGUACUGUAUUUAUAUGUAAUUCUUAUUCUAAAAGUUGCCGGAAAGGCUGAAUUGGAAGCUUCAUGUCUGCAUGAAAUUUCCUAUAUUUUUAAUGUUUAUGAUGGACUUAAUUUUUCUUAAAUAUUAAAGUCUGCCAAUUGCUAUGAAA